GAGUCUCACAAGAAAGAUCAAUAUCUUUGGCAAUGGUUGAGUACACGAAAAGAACGCUUUGAUCAGACAGUUAUACACAAAGUUAGGUGAUCUGAUCAGUGUGCACUUGUACUCACAACUUCUCGAGACUCUAUUAUAGAUGAA
ensembl:snoRNA F42A8.4 ncRNA